rnacentral:rRNA from 1 species
GAUGAACGCUGACAGAAUGCUUAACACAUGCAAGUCAACUUGAACUUCGGUUUGGGUGGCGGACGGGUGAGUAACGCGUAAAGAACUUGCCUCACAGUUAGGGACAACAUUUGGAAACGAAUGCUAAUACCUGAUAUUAUGAUUUUAGGACAUCCUAGAAUUAUGAAAGCUAUAUGCGCUGUGAGAGAGCUUUGCGUCCCAUUAGCUAGUUGGAGAGGUAACGGCUCACCAAGGCGAUGAUGGGUAGCCGGCCUGAGAGGGUGAUCGGCCACAAGGGGACUGAGACACGGCCCUUACUCCUACGGGAGGCAGCAGUGGGGAAUAUUGGACAAUGGACCAAGAGUCUGAUCCAGCAAUUCUGUGUGCACGAUGAAGUUUUUCGGAAUGUAAAGUGCUUUCAGUUGGGAAGAAAAAAAUGACGGUACCAACAGAAGAAGUGACGGCUAAAUACGUGCCAGCAGCCGCGGUAAUACGUAUGUCACAAGCGUUAUCCGGAUUUAUUGGGCGUAAAGCGCGUCUAGGUGGUUAUGUAAGUCUGAUGUGAAAAUGCAGGGCUCAACUCUGUAUUGCGUUGGAAACUGUGUAACUAGAGUACUGGAGAGGUAAGCGGAACUACAAGUGUAGAGGUGAAAUUCGUAGAUAUUUGUAGGAAUGCCGAUGGGGAAGCCAGCUUACUGGACAGAUACUGACGCUGAAGCGCGAAAGCGUGGGUAGCAAACAGG